rnacentral:rRNA from 1 species
UUUGGUUAAGUUAGAAAGGGCGCACGGUGGAUGCCUUGACACUAGGAGUCGAUGAAGGACGGGACUAACGCCGAUAUGCUUCGGGGAGCUGUAAGUAAGCUUUGAUCCGAAGAUUUCCGAAUGGGGAAACCCACCAUACGUAAUGGUAUGGUAUCCUUAUCUGAAUACAUAGGAUAAGGAAGACAGACCCAGGGAACUGAAACAUCUAAGUACCUGGAGGAAGAGAAAGCAAAUGCGAUUUCCUGAGUAGCGGCGAGCGAAACGGAACAUAGCCCAAACCAAGAGGCUUGCCUCUUGGGGUUGUAGGACAUUCUAUACGGAGUUACAAAGGAACGAGGUAGACGAAGCGACCUGGAAAGGUCCGUCGUAGAGGGUAACAACCCCGUAGUCGAAACUUCGUUCUCUCUUGAAUGUAUCCUGAGUACGGCGGAACACGUGAAAUUCCGUCGGAAUCUGGGAGGACCAUCUCCCAAGGCUAAAUACUCCCUAGUGAUCGAUAGUGAACCAGUACCGUGAGGGAAAGGUGAAAAGCACCCCGGAAGGGGAGUGAAAGAGAUCCUGAAACCGUGUGCCUACAAAUAGUCAGAGCCCGUUAACGGGUGAUGGCGUGCCUUUUGUAGAAUGAACCGGCGAGUUACGAUCCCGUGCGAGGUUAAGCUGAAGAGGCGGAGCCGCAGCGAAAGCGAGUCUGAAUAGGGCGUUUAGUACGUGGUCGUAGACCCGAAACCAGGUGAUCUACCCAUGUCCAGGGUGAAGUUCAGGUAACACUGAAUGGAGGCCCGAACCCACGCA